ACGUCCAGGGCCACACACGUGCUACAAUGGCCGAUACAGAGGGCAGCUACCUGGUGACAGGAUGCAAAUCUCGAAAGUCGGUCUCAGUUCGGAUCGGAGUCUGCAACUCGACUCCGUGAAGUUGGAUUCGCUAGUAAUCGCGCAUCAGCCAUGGCGCGGUGAAUACGUUCCCGGGCCUU
rnacentral:rRNA from 1 species